ensembl:lncRNA
UUUCAUGCACGGCUCCAGCUGUAGCUUAACCGUACCGUCAGCUCUCGUGGUGUUGCAUAAAUCAAGUGAAAAUUCUCACUUUUUCAGAUCAGUUCGUCUUCCCCUUCCCCUCCCACCUGCAUGUUCACAGCCCCGGCGUGUCCUGGGGCUUCUCAAAGCUUUGAGCAAAUCGUUCCUGGAAAGCUCUCCAGUCCCAGCCAGGGCUUAUCUUCGCACAGGACCUGCAUCUUCCAGAGCUCAUUUCCCUGAAGGAGAGCUCUCAAAAACACUCAGUACACAGAAAUGCCCCUCACAGCGCUGCUGUGCAGAUAACCCUAGAAAGCACGACGUGCCAAGACCCAGAGAUGCCAUGAGAGUUGUCACCAGGAGGACAACCUCCACCCCUCCUCACCACCUUUCUAGACAUCUACAGCACUCUCCUGCUCCUUCCAGACCUCCCCAGGUAGGUGUCAGUCCUUUUCCUGGACAAAAGGCUCUGCUGCAGCAGCAGCCACUGGCUUGGCUGCAGCGUAUUUCCUUCCACCCGGGGUACCCAUCCUCUCCAGCCCUUGCCACAGUGCUCUUGAGGCAAUGUGAAACACGCGGCCACCAGGUGCCGAGUUGUUUUGAACCUGAGAGUGAACCUGAAGCUCUUGUGACCACACGCAACAGAUGCUGUUGUUGUGGCCGUGCGUGUGGUCAGAGCCACUUCAGCGCUUCUGCUUCUCUGAUGGCCCUGUUUUUUUUAAAAUGCACUUGUGAAGUGCAUCGUGUCGGUGUUUGUGCCGUUCCUUAAACCUGCCUAAUAGGAAAUACCGCAGUCACUGAACUGCAGGCAGCUGCUCAGUACGGCAGGUACAGCUCAAAACAUGAUCACACUCUGGUAAAGCCUCAGCAGCUUUUCUGACAGUAGCGAGGGAAAACUUUUAACAUUAUUGUUCUCGGUUGGGUAAAGCUUGUUGACACGUGCUAUGGUAGCCUUAUAAUGUUAUGGCAAAAUGAGUAAAAGAUAUGUGGCAAAACUAUCUGUACAGGAAGUAUGUGGGGUGUUGAUUUAAUUUGUUGAUUUAAUUUGUUUCACCACCACCCCUUACAGAUCUCUACAAUUGAAGCACUUCUGGUAGCAAGGUGGGUGUUUUUUUUUUUUUCUUGAUCUGUUUUACUGCUAUCUUAAGUGUUUCAUUCUAACCUGUACAUGUGCUUUUAUAUAAGCACAGGCAUUUAGAUGAAAUAAAGUAUGCAUCAGUAAAUUAUUAAUGAUGAUAAAUGCUGAGAAGGAACAGAGCUUCAUUUGGCCAUGAAGGAAAGUGUAGUAGUUUCUAAAUGAUUGUGCUUCAAAAACCUUCUGUAAGGAAUAGAGAUUUGCAGACCAAAUAAAAAAAUAUUGGCUGAAACUGUCCUACUAUGCUACAACUGUGGUGAAGGCAAGCUCAGAGAAACCAGAUGAAUGCCAAAUAACAGAAGUUUCAUCCCAAAAUGAAGAGGAGAGGGUGGAACUGAUUCAAGUAAAAUUGCGGGUGCCGAGAAGUGCACCAGGAUGGGCUGAAGUAGUUUCCUACCUAGAGGAAAUGGUCUUCAACGUGGGAUGUGGGAAGAAAAUAUUUUUGGUGCAAUUAGUAAAUAAAGCUAUUUUUGAAAAAAGUGUUUCUUUCUUUCCUCUUUUUCUCAUCCUUUUUUAAUUUCUAUUUUUGUGUUUGUUUUAUGAUGUGCAUAAUAUGUUAGUACAGUAGUAAGUGUAAUUGAUUUAUAAAUAAAUGUACAUAUAAUGGAGGUGCAUGCUCAAAAAUCUUUCACUAAUUGGUGUCCACGAUCAAAAAAGUUUGGAGACCCCUGACCUGGAGGUUGAGUGGAUAUCUUUACAGAGAACCUGUGCUAUUCAUUGUAUUUGGAAGAAGCACAUCUGGAAGGUCUUCUUUCUGUGAAAAAUGUAAUUAGGGUAGGAUUUGCUUUGCCCACAGUCUUCUGUGCCAAAGAUAGAAAAAUACAGAAGGCACAAAAUAAAACCAGGGUGACUCUGUAUAAAGGUUUGAGGGGAAUCCAUGGGAUUUCUGCUGCAUUGUCUGUGUGAAAUGUUCAUAGAUUGUGCCUAAAACACGAAAAUUAAAACUGCCAUUUUUAUUACAGACCAUCUGUUGGGAAAAGCAAUAUCUUGUAGAAAACAAGCUAGUAAUACUGAAAGAAAUAGGCAAUCUUUCAAGCAGCUUUUUCAGGUCUGAAUCAGUAACUCAAGAAGUGAAUGUGGUAUUUGAAGAAGUCUUUUUCAUUUCUCAUCCAUUACCAACUCCAUUUAAUACAGAUAAUGCUUCCUCCUCCGAGUGUUUACUUAUUUCCUUAGUGUGCAAGAGCUAAAACACCACAAAUUCUGGGUGAAGAUUUUCUUUUACAACACACAAGGUUUUUCUUGGCUUGUUUGCAACACCGCUGUAAAACUGUCAGUGCUGGAACACUCUUGCUGGAGGUACAAGACACGAUGCAGGUCUGCUAUCUAAGAAACUACCGAUCUGCACAAGGCAGGAACAGCUUUUAAUCUGUAGCCAUCAGCAUUAUUCACUUUGUGCUUUCAUGUGUGAACUACCGCAGUUUCUAAAGCAAACUUUUACUUUGAAAAUCUUCUGGAAUAAUCCUGUUGUGUAGCUGAUCUGAUCUAGCAGAGGUUCUGCUGAAGCAGAUUGAGGAGGUGUGAAAAGAAAAUGGCAAAAUAUCGGUGUUAGCAGUGAACAUUCGUUUGUAAUGUUUUUGUUAGCAGUGAACAUUCAUUUGUAAUGUUUUUAUUGGGUUACCUUUAUUAUAUGAAGUGAUUUUCUUCCAGAAAAAAAAAAAAUCCAGGUGAAAUUAGUUGAGAGCAUUUUAAAUUAUAUUGACAUGCACCUCUCUUUCCUAUGGUUGUUUUUAAGCAGCUGCACAUAUCACUGAUCAGGGUGGAUGAUGAGUAAGAAGAGGCCAAUGUAGUCUAAUUCAAUAAUGGGAGUAGCAAUGACUGACAAAUUUUCCAGAAAUGAUUCUCAUUUUUACAAGAUUAGAUCUUUUAGGGAAACAAACAAACAAACAAACAAAAACUGUAGGCUUGCCAGUGUUAGAUUAUUCGCUGUGAUUUAUAGUGAUUGCAAGUCUUCUUAUUCCAUAGUUUACAAUACAGAGUUGUUUUGUGUGUGUUUUUUCUUUAAACAUUUUCUAGCUUCAAAUUCUGAUAGUUUUGCCAUGAAAAAUUAUUACUGAUUUUUUGUUCCCUAUUGUCAUUACUUGUAUUUUAUGAUCUUGUAACUCCUUAGCUCUCUCUUCAAUAUACUAUACUGGCUAACCUUCUUUGAUAUGUUUCCCUGAAAAAGGCUUUCUCAUUGCACAGUGAUUUUCAUGCCCCUUUUCAGGUUCAUCUCUGCUUUGCCAACAUGUCAAAACUAGACACAGUAUGUCAGCAGCCAGUGGCAACUCCAGAGCUGAUAUAACUCCUGUCCUCCUUGUGAUUUCUCUGUUUAUACACCCAAGGUUGCAGGAACAUGUUUUUUUUUGGCCACGGCCACAUCUUGGCAGCUGGAAAUUCCACCAUGACUUAUUUGUCCUUUUCAUUUUUCCCAGGAUAAAGUCUUCUGCCAUGCAAGUACAGCCUCCACUCUGUGAUCUUAAAUGAACGUGCUCAUUGAUGACCCUAUUGACACAUAUGUUUGCUUGCCCCCAACUUCCAAACGACCAGGUCACCCUGUACCAGUGCUCUACCCAUUUAAUUAUUUACCCUUCCCUCAGGCCUUGUGUCAUUUGUGAGGUUUAUCAGUGAUGAUGCUCUGUUUUCUUCCAGGCCAUCGAUAAAAAUGCUGAAUAUUUUAGAAUCCAGCCUAAAUGUGGUUAGAACCCAGACAACUUCCGAGCUUAGAGUAAUGAGGUGCUGGUGAACCAGCAACAUGAUUUUAAAAGGUGUGCCAUGCUGAAAAGGGUUUUUUUAACUAAAAAUACCCAUCACUGAUGUCACCUUUACCAUCCUAGCCUCUUAUCCCACUGAAAAAAAUGCUUCCUGGCCGCCCAAGAAGAGGAGCUGGAUGGGGUCCUUUCCCCAGAAGUCCCCAGAGAUGUGAAAACCUUGGACGUGACUCCGUUUGCUGGGUGUGCGUUUGCUGGUUUGGAG